rnacentral:rRNA from 1 species
UACGGAGGGUGCAAGCGUUAAUCGGAAUUACUGGGCGUAAAGGGUGCGUAGGUGGUUAACUAAGUUAGCUGUGAAAUUCCUGGGCUUAACCUAGGGUGGUCAGCUAAGACUGGGAGACUUGAGUAUAGGAGAGGGUAGUGGAAUUUCCGGUGUAGCGGUGAAAUGCGUAGAGAUCGGAAGGAACACCAGUGGCGAAGGCGGCUACCUGGCCUGAUACUGACACUGAGGCACGAAAGCGUGGGGAGCAAACAGG